GUGCAAACGUUGCUCGGAAUCAUUGGGCGUAAAGCGCACGUAGGCGGCCCGAUAAGUCGGAUGUGAAAUCCCUCGGCUCAACCGAGGAAGUGCAUUCGAAACUAUCGGGCUUGAAUAUGGAAGAGGGUCGCGGAAUUCCCGGUGUAGAGGUGAAAUUCGUAGAUAUCGGGAGGAACACCAGUGGCGAAGGCGGCGACCUGGGCCAAUAUUGACGCUGAGGUGCGAAAGCGUGGGGAGCAAACAGG
rnacentral:rRNA from 1 species